rnacentral:lncRNA from 1 species
GACUUGUGUGCGUAAUUCCAUAGGUUCAAACACUAAGCUAGUAGCACAAGAACCAAUUCUUACACUAAUCGAGAUACCAUCUAGCAAUGGUUUUCGACGUCUAGAUAGGUCAAAUUAUUGUAAAAGAAUAUUUCAGAAUACAUACUCAUGGUUACUGCAUAAUUCAUCCUUUUGACCCUGGAUGCUUUAGGAUGGUCUCAGGUUAACUGUCAAUCGAGAUUGCUUCAUCCACAUUAUAUUUCAACCAUUCAAAUCCAUCUCAUGGAUUACCCUAGUCAAGAUUUUACUAAAUUAAAAUACAGCGAUACAUCAACUUCAAUAAUUCAGAGGGAUUAAUCACAUCUUAAUCCACACACAGACUUCGUAAGUACUUGACUGUACCCAGUAGCCUUCCAUCACUGUAUUAAAAAUUUAGGUAGUUCGGCACCAAAGUAUAGUGAGUUGCUUGCAAGUCAUUAUGGUGAUCUUAUAUCUGAAAGAUAUUUAUAUCCAUGUUUCACAAGCAACUCUUGACAGCAGAAUACUCAGUAGGUGAGUCACUUGUUCAGUGACGACGUACCCUUACAUCUCACCUGUAUGUCAUACCAGUAUUACCACACUCCUUG